GACGAACGCUGGCGGCGUGCUUAACACAUGCAAGUCGAACGGAAAGGCCCCUUUGGGGGUCCUCGACUGGCGAACGGGGGAGUAACACGUGAGUAACCUGCCCUUUACUCCGUGACAACUUCAGGAAACUGGGGCUAAUACCGGUAAGAAAUCCUUGCAGCUUGGGGGGGGUUGGAAAGCUUUUGCGGCCUUGGAUGGACUCGCGGCUUAUUGGCUUGUUGGUUGGGUAGUGGGUUACCAAGGCACUGACGGGUAGACGGCCUGUGGGGGCGAGCGGCCACAUUGGCACUGAGAGGCGGCCGAGGUGCCGACGGGAGGACGCAGUGGGGAAGCUUGAACAAGGGGCGGAGGCCUGAUGCAGAAAGGCCGCGUGCGGGAUGGCGGCCUUGGGGUUGUAAACCGCCUUCAGCAGGGGCGAAGCUUGUGGUGACGGUACCUGAAGAAGAAGCACCGGCUAACUACGUG
rnacentral:rRNA from 1 species